rnacentral:misc_RNA from 1 species
GAUGAAGAACGUAGCGAAAUGCGAUACUUGGUGUGAAUUGCAGAAUCCCGUGAACCAUCGAGUCUUUGAACGCAAGUUGCGCCCGAAGCCAUUAGGCCGAGGGCACGCCUGCCUGGGCGUCACACGUCGUUGCCCCCCCAUCUACUCCUUCGGGAUUGCGGGGGGCGGAUGAUGGCCUCUCGUGCGCCUCGUCGCGCGGUUGGCCUAAAUGCCAAGUCCUCGGCGACGCACGCCACGACAAUCGGUGGUUGCGAAACCUCGGUUGCCUGUCGUGUGCGGUCGUCGCGCAUCGAGGGCUCGAAAAAAUUGCCGGGCUUCGGCUCGACUUUCAACGCGACCCCAGGUCAGGCGGGGCUACCCGCUGAGUUUAAGCAUAUCAAUAAGCGGAGGA